AUGAGAGGGAGCAGCCUAGUGCAGGGGACGAUGAUAUUCUUCAUUGGAUGCCUUGUGCUUUGUGCACAGUGUGCUCUCGAUAAUAAGCAAAGGAUGGUCAACCAAGAUGAUCAUGCGGCGAACACAAGUACCAACGCUACCAUCAUCAACUCAACAUCUGUAGGCGAGAGCAAGAAAACCGAGAAAUUUUGCAGCCUCUUUCUCGUAUGUUAUUUCAACAUUGAGAUUCGUGCUGAGUGCUACUGUUGCGAGAAUAAGAAUGCCGACUGUUACAAGACGAAGAGUGAGUGCCUGCAGAAGUGCCAUUCCUACAACGGUUAA
rnacentral:rRNA from 1 species